CCUACGGGUGGCAGCAGUGGGGAAUAUUGGACAAUGGGGGGAACCCUGAUCCAGCCAUGCCGCGUGUGUGAAGAAGGCCCUCGGGUUGUAAAGCACUUUCAGUGAGGAAGAACGCCUGGUGGUUAAUACCCAUCAGGAAAGACAUCACUCACAGAAGAAGCACCGGCUAACUCCGUGCCAGCAGCCGCGGUAAUACGGAGGGUGCGAGCGUUAAUCGGAAUUACUGGGCGUAAAGCGCGCGUAGGUGGCUUGAUAAGCCGGUUGUGAAAGCCCCGGGCUCAACCUGGGAACGGCAUCCGGAACUGUCAAGCUAGAGUGCAGGAGAGGAAGGUUGAAUUCCCGGUGUAGCGGUGAAAUGCGUAGAGAUCGGGAGGAAUACCAGUGGCGAAGGCGGCCUUCUGGACUGACACUGACACUGAGGUGCGAAAGCGUGGGUAGCAAACAGGAUUAGAUACCCUUGUAGUC
rnacentral:rRNA from 1 species